rnacentral:misc_RNA from 1 species
UCAAUUUUCGGGGGACUUCGGUCCCUGUCUGAACCCUUGUCUUUUGAGUACCAUUUGUUUCCUUGGUGGGCUUUGCCUGCCAACAGGACACCAUUGAACCUCUUGUAAUUGCAAUCAGCGUCAGAAAAACAUAAUAGUUA